rnacentral:rRNA from 1 species
AAAAGAAACCAACCGGGAUUGCCUCAGUAACGGCGAGUGAAGCGGCAAGAGCUCAAAUUUGAAAUCUGGCCCCCUCGGGGUCCGAGUUGUAAUUUGCAGAGGAUGCUUCGGGUGCGGUCCCCAUCUAAGUGCCCUGGAACGGGCCGUCAUAGAGGGUGAGAAUCCCGUCUGGGAUGGGCGGCCGCGCCCGUGUGAAGCUCCUUCGACGAGUCGAGUUGUUUGGGAAUGCAGCUCUAAGCGGGUGGUAAAUUUCAUCUAAAGCUAAAUACUGGCCGGAGACCGAUAGCGCACAAGUAGAGUGAUCGAAAGAUGAAAAGCACUUUGAAAAGAGAGUUAAACAGCACGUGAAAUUGUUGAAAGGGAAGCGUUGUCCACCAGACUCGCCCGGGGGGGUUCAGCCGGCACGUGUGCCGGUGUACUCCUCUCCGGGCGGGCCAGCAUCGGUUUGGGCGGCUGGUGAAAGGCCCCGGGAAUGUACCACCCUCCGGGGUGUCUUAUAGCCCGGGGUGCCAUACAGCCAGCCUGGACCGAGGCCCGCGCUUCGGCGAG